rnacentral:tRNA from 1 species
CCGGGUGUGGCACAGCUUGGUAGUGCGCUUGGUUCGGGACCAAGAGGCCGCUGGUUCAAAUCCAGUCACUCGGACCA